AGCAGCAUGGCGCAGAUGGAAGCGCGCGGGGCCCAUAUCGUCAGAUCAUUACGUAAUCUUCGAAACCCCGAGGUCACUCGAUCGAAACGAGUUGCUGCUA